GUGCCAGCAGCCGCGGUAAUACGUAGGUGGCAAGCGUUGUCCGGAUUUAUUGGGCGUAAAGCGAGCGCAGGCGGUUUUUUAAGUCUGAUGUGAAAGCCUUCGGCUCAACCGAAGAAGUGCAUCGGAAACUGGGAAACUUGAGUGCAGAAGAGGACAGUGGAACUCCAUGUGUAGCGGUGAAAUGCGUAGAUAUAUGGAAGAACACCAGUGGCGAAGGCGGCUGUCUGGUCUGUAACUGACGCUGAGGCUCGAAAGUAUGGGUAGCAAACAGGAUUAGAUACCUUGGUAGUCCAUACCGUAAACGAUGAAUGCUAAGUGUUGGAGGGUUUCCGCCCUUCAGUGCUGCAGCUAACGCAUUAAGCAUUCCGCCUGGGGAGUACGGCCGCAAGGCUGAAACUCAAAGGAAUUGACGGGGGCCCGCACAAGCGGUGGAGCAUGUGGUUUAAUUCGAAGCUACGCGAAGAACCUUACCAGGUCUUGACAUACUACGCAAAUCUAAGAGAUUAGACGUUCCCUUCGGGGACAUGGAUACAGGUGGUGCAUGGUUGUCGUCAGCUCGUGUCGUGAGAUGUUGGGUUAAGUCCCGCAACGAGCGCAACCCUUAUUAUCAGUUGCCAGCAUUAAGUUGGGCACUCUGGUGAGACUGCCGGUGACAAACCGGAGGAAGGUGGGGAUGACGUCAAAUCAUCAUGCCCCUUAUGACCUGGGCUACACACGUGCUACAAUGGAUGGUACAACGAGUUGCGAACUCGCGAGAGUAAGCUAAUCUCUUAAAGCCAUUCUCAGUUCGGAUUGUAGGCUGCAACUCGCCUACAUGAAGUCGGAAUCGCUAGUAAUCGCGGAUCAGCACGCCGCGGUGAAUACGUUCCCGGGCCUUGUACACACCGCCCGU
rnacentral:rRNA from 1 species